CAGCCGCCACGGUAAUACGGAGGGUGCAAGCGUUAUCCGGAUUUAUUGGGUUUAAAGGGUCCGUAGGCGGAUCUGUAAGUCAGUGGUGAAAUCUCACAGCUUAACUGUGAAACUGCCAUUGAUACUGCAGGUCUUGAGUAAAUUUGAAGUGGCUGGAAUAAGUAGUGUAGCGGUGAAAUGCAUAGAUAUUACUUAGAACACCAAUUGCGAAGGCAGGUCACUAAGAUUUAACUGACGCUGAUGGACGAAAGCGUGGGGAGCGAACAGGAUUAGAUACCCGUGUAGUCCCUGUCUCUUAUAA
rnacentral:rRNA from 1 species